rnacentral:rRNA from 1 species
UACGGGGGGAGCAAGCGUUGUUCGGAUUUACUGGGCGUAAAGGGCGCGUAGGCGGUCAGCACAAGUCAGUUGUGAAAUCUCCGGGCUUAACUCGGAAAGGUCAACUGAUACUGUGCGACUAGAGUGCAGAAGGGGCAACUGGAAUUCUCGGUGUAGCGGUGAAAUGCGUAGAUAUCGAGAGGAACACCUGCGGCGAAGGCGGGUUGCUGGGCCGACACUGACGCUGAUGCGCGAAAGCCAGGGGAGCGAACGG